AUAUAUGUCACGUCUGUCCGAAGAAGAAGAAUGGGACCAAGGCGCAGCGUGUGUAUCCUUCCACAUUUUAUUAUAACUGUGAAACGAUGCAAGACAUACAAAUAAACUAAUAAACAAAAACAACAAACCGUGACGAAGAGGUGCAACAUGCACUAACUCAAAAUAAUCUCCCACAAACCCAGGUGGGAAAAACAUCUACUUAAAUAUGAUCCCCAAUUAGAGACAACGAUGACCAGCUGCUCUAAUUGGAGAUCAUCCCAAAAAAACAGUCUUUAGCGAUUUUUAGGGUCUUCCUCUGACAUCGCCUGGUAUAGAGAGGUCCUGGAUGGCAGGAUGCUUGGCCCCAGUGAUGUACUGGGCCGUACGCACUACCCUCUGUAGUGUCUUGUGGUCGGAGGCUGAGCAGUUGCCAUACCAGGCAGCAAAGUAACCAGUCAGGAUGCUCUUGAUGGUGUAGCUGUAGAACUUUUUUGAGGAUCUGAGGACCAAUAAUACAUCUUUGAGUCAAUGAGAAUGGGGGUGUGCUAGGCCCUCCUUCUCCUGUAGUCAACGAUCAUCUCUUUGGUCUUGAUCACUUUGAGGGAAAGGUUGUUAUCCUGACACCAGACUGCCAGGUCUCUGACCUCCUCCCUAUAGUCUGUACCACUGUUGUGUCGUCGGCAAACUUAAUGAUGUUGUUGUAGUCAUGCUUGGCUACGCAGUCAUGGGUGAACAGGGAGUACAGGAGGGGACUGAGCACGCACCACUGAGUGGUGGAUCAGCCUGUUGAGGAUCAGCGUGGCAGAUGUGUUGUUACCUACCCUUACCACCUGGGGGCGGCCCGUCAGGAAGUCCAGGAUCCAGUUGCAGAGGGAGGUGUUUAGUCCCAGGAUCCUUAGCUUAUUGAUGAGCUUUGUGGGCACUAUGGUGUUGAACACUGAACUGUAGUCAAUGAAUAACAUUCUCACAUAGGUGUUCCUUUUGUCCAGGUGGGAAAGGGCAGUGUGGAGUGCAAUAGAGAUUACAUCCUCUGUGGAUCUGUUGGGGCGGUAUGCAAAUUGGAGUGGGUUUAGGGUUUCUGGGAUAAUGGUGUUGAUGUGAGCCAUGACCAGCCUUUCAAAGCAUUUCAUGGCUACAGACGUGAGUGUUACGGGUCGGUAGUCAUUUAGGCAGGUUGCCUUGGUGUUCUUGGGCACAGGGACUAUGGUGGUCUGCUUGAAACAUGUUUGUAUUACAGACUUAGUCAGGGAAAGGUUGAAAAUAUCAGGGAAGACCCUUGCCAGUUGGUCAGCGCAUGCUCGGAGUACACGUCCUGGUGAUCCGUGUGGCCCUGCGGCCUUGUGAAUGUUGACCUGUUUAAAGGUCUUACUCACAUCGGCUACGGAGAGCGUGAUGUCACAGUCGUCCAGAACAGCUGGUCUUACCGGGAUCCGACACAUAACGAAAAAAAACAAAACAAUACAGACAAAAUUCUUUAUUUCCAUCCAUUUAAAUCAUUAACAUGUAGCGUGUCUAUGCAUCUAUCAGUUCCACAUACAUGUCAGUACAUACACACAACACGUAGCUCGCAUGGGGGAGAGGCAUUGUGCUGAGAGGUGUUGCUUUUUGGGGGAGGGAAACCAGGUUUGCUGUAUGAGAUGGAAGAGACUUCCAUGCACUCAUGGCUCAGUAUAAUACUGUAUGUUUCCUUGAAUUUGUUCUGGACCUGGGAACUGUGAAAAGACCCCUGGUGGCAUGUCUGGUGGGGUAAGUGUGUGUGUGUGUGUCAGUGCUGUGUGUAAGUUGACUAUGCAAACUAUUUGGAAUUUCAAACAUAUUAAUGUGUCUUAUGAAAACAAGAUGAUAGUACUGUAGUAAUGACAGAAUGGUCAACAUAAUAUUAGGUAAUGACAGAAUGGUCAACAUAAUAGUACUGUAGUAAUGACAGAAUGGUAAACAUAAUAGUACUUAAUGACAGAAUGGUCAACACAAUAGUACUGUGGUAAUGACAGAAUGGUCAACAUAAUAGUACUGUAGUAAUGACAGAAUGGUAAUGACAAUAUUUCCUACUUUAACAGACAUUAAAAGCAAGGCGCAGUACAGGAAUGAACUAUUGCAGUCACGUCAUACUCAAACAGUAAAUUAAUGUUCCUUUUUUUGUUAACAGCAUUUUAAACAAAUGACAUUUCUAAUGACAUCGUCACGAUAUAAGUUACUUACCGUAAAGUAACAUAUGUAUCUUAAUAAACGAUAAGACUUAAAGUUGUGCAUUUAUAAAGGCCAGACAACGCCUACCUAUUGGAAUGUCCCCGUUGGCAUGGCAGCGCUCAUAGGGUUGCCAUGAUAUGCAACUCCCACAGCAUCACAUAAAACCACAGGACUAAAGAGGCUCAAUUGCAAAUUAUGAAAAUAAGCAGUAAAUGAACCGUGCUUUCUCUGUACGUACAACCUUUUUGUCAUUUGAUUCCACAAGUACUUCCUUUUGAGCCUUAUUAUUAAGCACCGAUAUGAGUAUUAAAUAUUUCACUGCAGGUGAAAGUGGAUGUUUUAUUAUUCCGUUUCACUGCACAGAGGAUUGAUUUAACACAUGCACGACACAUACACAUACAAUGCAUUCUCCAACGGACAAUUCCCAUUGACUCCCCAUAGUAGCGUCUUCAGCUAACUUCUACCAUCUGGGGAUAGCCGAGCUGUUUGUUCCUGCGUGUUAAGAGUAACUGUAGCUUCUUCUGUCAAUUACGACAAUACACGUGUCUGCUUUUUCCUGCACACUGGUACACUCGCAUUAACAUCUGCUAACCAUGUGUGUGUGACCAAUGACAUUUAAUUUGAUUUGGUAACACUUUCCGUUAAGUGGUCUUCAAGUGUCCUACAUUGUUCUUCCGUAAUUGCCUUUUAAUAGCGUUGUCACGACCUGACCUGAGAGAGACGGUUUAUUUCUCUAUGUGGUUUGGUCAGGGUGUGGGGUGGGCAUU
rnacentral:lncRNA from 1 species